UCCUAGUUUGAUGAUGACAAUGGUUCAGUGAGCCUGGCUGUUAACCAGAAGGUUGGUGGUUCAAGCCCACCCAGGGAU